UUUUACACUCUUAUGUAGGUGUCAUAACCAGCCAUAAAAUAACUACCGUGGUAUAUUUUGUGGGUUUUUACACUCUUAUGUAGGUGCCAUAACCAGCCAUAAAAUAACUACCGUGGUAUAUUUUGUGGGUUUUUACACUCUUAUGUAGGUGUCAUAACCAGCCAUAAAAUAACUACCGUGGUAUAUUUUGUGGGUUUUUACACUCUUAUGUAGGUGCCAUAACCAGCCAUAAAAUAACUACCGUGGUAUAUUUUGUGGGUUUUUACACUCUUAUGUAGGUGUCAUAACCAGCCAUAAAAUAACUACCGUGGUAUAUUUUGUGGGUUUUUACACUCUUAUGUAGGUGUCAUAACCAGCCAUAAAAUAACUACCGUGGUAUAUUUUGUGGGUUUUUACACUCUUAUGUAGGUGUCAUAACCAGCCAUAAAAUAACUACCGUGGUAUAUUUUGUGGGUUUUUACACUCUUAU